UCCCCGGGCACGGCCCCUUCCCCCGCUCUCCGCCCCCCCGCCCCGCGCUCCGCUCCGCUCCGCUCGCCUCGUCCGCGCUUGUCUAAUCCAACCAACCUGCCGGAGCCGGGUUCCGGCUGCUCCCAGACGCCAAGGGCCGCUGCAGCAAGUGGGACUUGGGCCAGCUUGCCCCUUCACGAUCCGGAUCAUCCCCGGCUUAAACCACACCGUGAUUUCGCCUUUCUGAGCGCGAAGCCGGCGGGGACAAAGAGCCCGGGCACGGCCCAAGCGCCUGCGCCCCGCAGAGAUCCGAGCAAGUCUGAUGAGAGCAAUGAGAAACUGCGCGAGACCGAGCAGAUUCUGACAGACUGCAUCACCUUCUAAAACUUCUGAUGGUACAGCACAGCAAUUCCUACAACAGAACAGAUGGCCGUUCCCUAAGAGAGCAUCUUUGUCUCCAGCAGCAGGCAACCCCUGCUGCUUCAGAGGAGAUCGGCAGACUUUGUUGUGAAAGACCAAAUGAAUAAAAACUCUCCCUGAAAUACUUUUACUGCCAA